AGAGUUUGAUCCUGGCUCAGAUUGAACGCUGGCGGUAUGCUUAACACAUGCAAGUCGAACGGCAGCACGUUAUUUCUUUUCGGAGAGAUAAUGGUGGCGAGUGGCGGACGGGUGAGUAACGCGUAGGAAUCUACCCUAAAGUGGGGGAUAACCCGGGGAAACUCGGGCUAAUACCGCAUAAUCUCUACGGAGCAAAGCUGGGGACCAGAGUUUACUUUGGCCUGGCGCUAUAGGAUGAGCCUGCGUCGGAUUAGCUUGUUGGUGGGGUAAUGGCCUACCAAGGCAACGAUCCGUAGCUGGUCUGAGAGGAUGAUCAGCCACACUGGGACUGAGACACGGCCCAGACUCCUACGGGAGGCAGCAGUGGGGAAUAUUGGACAAUGGGCGCAAGCCUGAUCCAGCAAUACCGCGUGUGUGAAGAAGGCCUUCGGGUUGUAAA
rnacentral:rRNA from 1 species